rnacentral:rRNA from 1 species
CCUACGGGAGGCAGCAGUAGGGAAUCUUCCGCAAUGGACGCAAGUCUGACGGAGCAACGCCGCGUGAGUGAAGAAGGAUUUCGGUUCGUAAAACUCUGUUGUUAGAGAAGAACAGCGCAUAGAGUAACUGUUAUGCGUGUGACGGUAUCUAACCAGAAAGCCACGGCUAACUACGUGCCAGCAGCCGCGGUAAUACGUAGGUGGCAAGCGUUGUCCGGAUUUAUUGGGCGUAAAGCGAGCGCAGGCGGUCAAUUAAGUCUGAUGUGAAAGCCCCCGGCUCAACCGGGGAGGGUCAUUGGAAACUGGUUGACUUGAGUGCAGAAGAGGAGAGUGGAAUUCCAUGUGUAGCGGUGAAAUGCGUAGAUAUAUGGAGGAACACCAGUGGCGAAGGCGACUCUCUGGUCUGUAACUGACGCUGAGGCUCGAAAGCGUGGGUAGCAAACAGGAUUAGAUACCCUGGUAGUCCACGCCGUAAACGAUGAGUGCUAAGUGUUGGAGGGUUUCCGCCCUUCAGUGCUGCAGUUAUCGCAUUAAGCACUCCGCCUGGGGAGUACGACCGCAAGGUUGAAACUCAAAGGAAUUGACGG